rnacentral:rRNA from 1 species
AGCAGCCGCGGUAAUUCCAGCUCCAAUAGCGUAUAUUAAAGUUGUUGCAGUUAAAAAGCUCGUAGUUGAAUUUCGGGAUUGACACAUCGGUCGUGCCUUAAGGGGUAUGAACUGGUGUAGUCAAUUUCUCACCUUCUGGAGAACCGCGAUGCCCUUAAUUGGGUGUCGCGGGGAACCAGGACCUUUACUUUGAAAAAAUUAGAGUGUUUAAAGCAGGCAUUUUGCUUGAAUACAUUAGCAUGGAAUAAUAAAAUAGGACGGCAUGAUUCUAUUUUGUUGGUUUCUAGGAUCACCGUAAUGAUUAAUAGGGAUAGUUGGGGGCAUUAGUAUUCGAUUGUCAGAGGUGAAAUUCUUGGAUUUAUUGAAGACUAACUACUGCGAAAGCAUUUGCCAAGGAUGUUUUCAUUAAUCAAGAACGAAAGUUAGGGGAUCGAAGACGAUCAGAUACCGUCGUAGUCUUAACCAUAAACUAUGCCGACUAGGAAUCAGACGAUGUUAAUUUUUAAUGACUCGUUUGGCA